AGUAGUCAUAUGCUUGUCUCAAAGAUUAAGCCAUGCAUGUCUCAGUGCAAGCCACAUUAAGGUGAAACCGCGAAUGGCUCAUUAAAUCAGUUAUGGUUCCUUGGAUCCUACCAAUCCUACUUGGAUAACUGUGGUAAUUCUAGAGCUAAUACAUGCACCCAGAGCUCCGUCCAGAAAUGGCCGGGGCGCAGUUAUUAGAUCAAAACCAAUCGGUCGGGCUCGCCCGUCCGUCGUUUUGGUGACUCUGAAUAACCACCGCUGAUCGCACGGCCUCGCGCCGGCGACGUAUCCUUCGAAUGUCUGCCUUAUCAACUGUCGAUGGUAGGUUCUGCGCCUACCAUGGUUGUAACGGGUAACGGGGAAUCAGGGUUCGAUUCCGGAGAGGGAGCCUGAGAAACGGCUACCACAUCCAAGGAAGGCAGCAGGCGCGCAAAUUACCCACUCCCGGCACGGGGAGGUAGUGACGAAAAAUAACGAUACGGGACUCAUCCGAGGCCCCGUAAUCGGAAUGAGAACACUUUAAAUCUUUUAACGAGUACCUAAUGGAGGGCAAGUCUGGUGCCAGCAGCCGCGGUAAUUCCAGCUCCAUUGGCGUAUAUUAAAGUUGUUGCGGUUAAAAAGCUCGUAGUUGGAUCUGUGUAUCGGACGGCCGGUUCGCCGCUCGCGGCGUUCAACUGGUCGGUCCGGACGUCCUGCCGGUGGGCGUCCCGCGCGAGCGGGGCGCCCGUAGCUCCCUCCGGGCUGCUCUUAACCGGGUGGCUCGGUGGGCCGGCACGUUUACUUUGAACAAAUUUGAGUGCUCAAAGCAGGCCUUUGGUCGCCUGAAAAUUGUGUGCAUGGAAUAAUGGAAUAGGGCCUCGGUUCUAUUUUGUUGGCUUUUCUGAACUUGAGGUAAUGAUUAAUAGGGACAGACGGGGGCAUUCGUAUUGCGACGUUAGAGGUGAAAUUCUUGGAUCGUCGCAAGACGAACGGAUGCGAAAGCAUUUGCCAAAGAAUGUUUUCGCUAAUCAAGAACGAAAGUUAGAGGUUCGAAGGCGAUCAGAUACCGCCCUAGUUCUAACCAUAAACGAUGCCAGCCAGCGAUGCGCCGAAGUUCCUCCGAUGACUCGGCGCGCAGCUUCCGGGAAACCAAAGCUUUUGGGUUCCGGGGGAAGUAUGGUUGCAAAGCUGAAACUUAAAGGAAUUGACGGAAGGGCACCACCAGGAGUGGAGCCUGCGGCUUAAUUUGACUCAACACGGGAAACCUCACCAGGCCCGGACAUCGGAAGGAUUGACAGAUUGAGAGCUCUUUCUUGAUUCGAUGGGUGGUGGUGCAUGGCCGUUCUUAGUUGGUGGAGCGAUUUGUCUGGUUAAUUCCGAUAACGAACGAGACUYUAACCUGCUAAAUAGGCGCGGGGAUCUUUACGCU
rnacentral:rRNA from 1 species